rnacentral:rRNA from 1 species
CUACGUGCCAGCAGCCGCGGUAAUACGUAGGGUGCAAGCGUUAUCCGGAAUUAUUGGGCGUAAAGGGCUCGUAGGCGGUUCGUCGCGUCCGGUGUGAAAGUCCAUCGCUUAACGGUGGAUCCGCGCCGGGUACGGGCGGGCUUGAGUGCGGUAGGGGAGACUGGAAUUCCCGGUGUAACGGUGGAAUGUGUAGAUAUCGGGAAGAACACCAAUGGCGAAGGCAGGUCUCUGGGCCGUCACUGACGCUGAGGAGCGAAAGCGUGGGGAGCGAACAGGAUUAGAUACCCUGGUAGUCCACGCCGUAAACGGUGGAUGCUGGAUGUGGGGACCAUUCCACGGUCUCCGUGUCGGAGCCAACGCGUUAAGCAUCCCGCCUGGGGAGUACGGCCGCAAGGCUAAAACUCAAAGAAAUUGACGGGGGCCCGCACAAGCGGCGGAGCAUGCGGAUUAAUUCGAUGCAACGCGAAGAACCUUACCUGGGCUUGACAUGUUCCCGACAGCCGUAGAGAUACGGUCUCCCUUCGGGGCGGGUUCACAGGUGGUGCAUGGUCGUCGUCAGCUCGUGUCGUGAGAUGUUGGGUUAAGUCCCGCAACGAGCGCAACCCUCGCCCUGUGUUGCCAGCACGUCGUGGUGGGAACUCACGGGGGACCGCCGGGGUCAACUCGGAGGAAGGUGGGGAUGACGUCAGAUCAUCAUGCCCCUUACGUCCAGGGCUUCACGCAUGCUACAAUGGCCGGUACAACGGGAUGCGACACCGCGAGGUGGAGCGGAUCCCUUAAAACCGGUCUCAGUUCGGAUUGGAGUCUGCAACCCGACUCCAUGAAGGCGGAGUCGCUAGUAAUCGCGGAUCAGCAACGCCGCGGUGAAUGCGUUCCCGGGCCUUGUACACACCGCCCG